rnacentral:rRNA from 1 species
GGGUUGUGAGGUUAAGCGACUAAGCGUACACGGUGGAUGCCCUGGCAGUCAGAGGCGAUGAAGGACGUGCUAAUCUGCGAUAAGCGCCGGUAAGGUGAUAUGAACCGUUAUAACCGGCGAUUUCCGAAUGGGGAAACCCAGUGUGACUCGUCACACUAUCAUUAACUGAAUCCAUAGGUUAAUGAGGCGAACCGGGGGAACUGAAACAUCUAAGUACCCCGAGGAAAAGAAAUCAACCGAGAUUCCCCCAGUAGCGGCGAGCGAACGGGGAGGAGCCCAGAGCCUGAAUCAGCAUGUGUGUUAGUGGAAGCGUCUGGAAAGGCGCGCGAUACAGGGUGACAGCCCCGUACACAAAAGCGCAUGUGCUGUGAGCUCGAUGAGUAGGGCGGGACACGUGGUAUCCUGUCUGAAUAUGGGGGGACCAUCCUCCAAGGCUAAAUACUCCUGACUGACCGAUAGUGAACCAGUACCGUGAGGGAAAGGCGAAAAGAACCCCGGCGAGGGGAGUGAAAAAGAACCUGAAACCGUGUACGUACAAGCAGUGGGAGCCUCUUUUAUGGGGUGACUGCGUACCUUUUGU